rnacentral:rRNA from 1 species
UAAACANAGGGAAGCGAAACCGCGAGGUAGAGCAAAUCCCCAAAAACGGUCUCAGUUCGGAUUGCAGGCUGCAACUCGCCUGUAUGAAGUCGGAAUUGCUAGUAAUCGCGGAUCAGCAUGCCGCGGUGAAUACGUUCCCGGGCCUUGUACACACCGCCCGUCACACCAUGAGAGCCGGGAACACCCGAAGUCCGUAGUCUAACCGCAAGGAGGACGCGGCCGAAGGUGGGUUUGGUAAUUGGGGUGAAGUCGUAACAAGGUAAC